rnacentral:tRNA from 1 species
GGAUUGUGGCUCAGCGGUAGAGUGCUCGCCUCGCACAUCUGAGGCCCUGGGUUCAAUCCUCAGCACCA